GAUCCUGGCUCAGGAUGAACGCUAGCGGCAGGCCUAACACAUGCAAGUCGAGGGGCAGCACGGUGUAGCAAUACACUGGUGGCGACCGGCGCACGGGUGCGUAACGCGUAUGCAACCUACCCAUAACAGGGGGAUAACACUGAGAAAUUGGUACUAAUACCCCAUAACAUCAGGACCGGCAUCGGUUCUGGUUGAAAACUCCGNGU
rnacentral:rRNA from 1 species